UCCUCUCUCUCUUCCCCCCUCUGUGGCUCUCGUAUCCCACCCAAGCUCGGAGAGUUGAAGCUGCUCUAAUGGCGGACGGGGGGGAUGAGCCCGAGGAAGCCGCGGAGCUCCCGGAGAAGGAGAAGCUGGAGAUCGCCAAGUGGUUCCUCACCAACGCCCCUGCCGGCGAGAUUCACUACGUCGCCAAAGAUAUCCGAUCCGUUCUUGGGGACGAUAAAAUCUACGAAAUGGCGGCAACGGAGGCGUUUCCCGUGUACAACAAGGCCCAUUUGAUUGUUCUUGAGUUGCCCGACAGGAGCGGCGACGUAAUCAUUACAACAUAUGGGGAACUUGAUGAACACAAUUACUUUGAUCCCAGGACUGCUCAAGUAGCUACAGUGGAUCAUGUCAAACAAGUCUGUACGAAUUUGAGACCUGCCACUGAUGAAGAGCUCCCAUCUCCAUAUAUUGAAGAAUUUCGGUGUGCUCUGGAUGCUGAACUUUGCAAAUAUGUUGGUGAAGCUUAUCCAAAAGGAACAUGUGCAGUUUAUUGUACUCGUGGGAAAGAUGUGGAAGGACCAGGAGCUGAUUUUGAGUUUGCAGUAGUGAUUUCUGCCGCUAGACACAGCCCACAAAAUUUCUGCAAUGGGAGUUGGCGCUCAAUUUGGAAAUUGGAGUUCAAGGAUGAAUUGCAAGUCGUGGAAAUAAAUGGAAAGAUGCAGGUUGGUGCCCACUAUUUUGAAGAAGGAAAUGUUCAGCUGGAUGCAAACAAUGAAUGCAAGGACUCAACCAUCAUGCAGUCCCCUGAAGAUUGUGCUGUUUCGGUAACCAGCAUGAUUGGCCAUCAUGAGUCUGAGUAUAUGGCUUCUCUUGAGGCAUCGUAUCUAAAUUUGCCCGACACGACUUUCAAGGAUCUUCGAAGGAAACUUCCAGUUACUCGUACUCUGUUCCCAUGGAAUAAUACUUUGCAGUUCAGCCUUACCCGAGACAUUUCAAAAGAACUUGGAAUUGGAAAGUGAAGGAAGGUACAGGCCAGAGGGUUGUUAGCUGUGGACCAAAACAUUGGCACUCAAGGGUUGGCUUCAUAAAAUUCUUUUUUCAGAAGUUGUCUUCAAAUAAUUCAUUUCUAGCAAAGGUUCAGUGAUUACGUGCUUCUCCUGGAUACUCGACUUUUCUGUCUUGCUGGCGUGUAGCCUUUUUGAAUGCGAGAGCUGGUGGUGGUGACUCCAGGCUGAUUAAAGCAAUGAAAUUGCUCAAGCACUUGCAGAAGAAAGCCAAUCAGAAGAUCUAAUAUCACCAGGUCCUAGUGCAGAAGGUAGCCAGCUCAAAAGAUUUCCAAGUUUUCCCCUCCCCACAUUUUAUCAUCCUCGAUGAACUUGUACACCCUCUGGUUUUAUGUUUUUUUACACCGAAGUUUUUGUGGUUGAAUUUAUGACUCUGAGUAUCACCUUGUUGUCUUCUGUUCAUUAGUGUGAAAUUUAUAUCAAGAGUGCCAUGUUUGAAUAUUUGCAGCUU